ACUCUUCAACCCACCAGUUUCUUGUAGAUUGGAUGAUGUUUGGAUUUUGAACGUUGCUGGUCUUCGGAUCUUAGCUCGUUCGUAAAACAUUAGCAACUCUAAUUCGAACUCGGAUUGACUCAGUGUAAUAGACUAUUCGCUGAGGACACUUGCCUUGUGCUUGUGGCCGGAUGAGAUAAAUGUAGAAGCUUCAAACUACUUUAAAGUCAACUUUAG
rnacentral:misc_RNA from 1 species